UGCAGUCGAGCGGUAAGGCCUUUCGGGGUACACGAGCGGCGAACGGGUGAGUAACACGUGGGUGAUCUGCCCUGCACUUCGGGAUAAGCCUGGGAAACUGGGUCUAAUACCGGAUAUGACCUCAGGUUGCAUGACUUGGGGUGGAAAGAUUUAUCGGUGCAGGAUGGGCCCGCGGCCUAUCAGCUUGUUGGUGGGGUAAUGGCCUACCAAGGCGACGACGGGUAGCCGACCUGAGAGGGUGACCGGCCACACUGGGACUGAGACACGGCCCAGACUCCUACGGGAGGCAGCAGUGGGGAAUAUUGCACAAUGGGCGAAAGCCUGAUGCAGCGACGCCGCGUGAGGGAUGACGGCCUUCGGGUUGUAAACCUCUUUCAGCAGGGACGAAGCGCAAGUGACGGUACCUGCAGAAGAAGCACCGGCUAACUACGUGCCAGCAGCCGCGGUAAUACGUAGGGUGCAAGCGUUGUCCGGAAUUACUGGGCGUAAAGAGUUCGUAGGCGGUUUGUCGCGUCGUUUGUGAAAACCAGCAGCUCAACUGCUGGCUUGCAGGCGAUACGGGCAGACUUGAGUACUGCAGGGGAGACUGGAAUUCCUGGUGUAGCGGUGAAAUGCGCAGAUAUCAGGAGGAACACCGGUGGCGAAGGCGGGUCUCUGGGCAGUAACUGACGCUGAG
rnacentral:rRNA from 2 species